AUUGAACGCUGGCGGCGGGCCUAAUACAUGCAAGUCGAACGGAGUGGCGCACGGGUGAGUAAGGUAUAGCUAAUCUGCCCUACACUAGAGGACAACAGUUGGAAACGGCUGCUAAUACUCCAUAGUGUAGGAUGAGGCUAUAUUGUAUCAGCUAGUUGGUGAGGUAAUGGCUCACCAAGGCUAUGACGAAUAACUGGUGUGAGAGGAUGAUCAGUCACACUGGAACUGAGACACGGUCCAGACUCCUUCGGGAGGCAGCAGUAGGGAAUAUUGCUCAAUGGGGGUAGCCCUGAAGCAGCAACGCGGCGUGGAGGAUGACACUUUUCGGGGCGUAAACUCCUUUUGUUAGGGAAGCGGUACCUAACGAAUAAGCACCGGCUAACUCCGUGCCAGCAGCCGCGGUAAUUC
rnacentral:rRNA from 1 species